rnacentral:rRNA from 1 species
GAUGAACGCUGGCGGCGUGCCUAAUACAUGCAAGUCGAGCGAACAGACGAGGAGCUUGCUCCUCUGACGUUAGCGGCGGACGGGUGAGUAACACGUGGAUAACCUACCUAUAAGACUGGGAUAACUUCGGGAAACCGGAGCUAAUACCGGAUAAUAUAUUGAACCGCAUGGUUCAAUAGUGAAAGACGGUUUUGCUGUCACUUAUAGAUGGAUCCGCGCCGCAUUAGCUAGUUGGUAAGGUAACGGCGUACCAAGGCAACGAUGCGUAGCCGACCUGAGAGGGUGAUCGGCCACAGAGGAACUGGGACACGGUCCAGGCUCCUGCGGGAGGCAGCAGUAGGGAAUCUUCCGCAAUGGGCGAAAGCCUGACGGAGCAACGCCGCGUGAAUGAUGAAGGUCUUCGGAUCGUGAAACUCUGUUAUUAGGGAAGGACAAAUGUGUAGGUAACUAUGCACGUCUUGACGGUACCUAAUCAGAAAGCCACGGCUAACUACGUG